GAAGCAGGAUGCACACCAUUUCCGCAUCCCGCUCGAUAAGCGAACCGCCCCCGUAUGAAACGGGGGCGGCAAAAAGACAA
rnacentral:sRNA from 1 species